AUUGAACGCUGGCGGCAUGCUUUACACAUGCAAGUCGAACGGUAACAGGUUAAGCUGACGAGUGGCGGACGGGUGAGUAAUGCAUCGGAACGUGCCCGGUCGUGGGGGAUAACACUUCGAAAGAAGUGCUAAUACCGCAUACGAUCUGAGGAUGAAAGCGGGGGACCGUAAGGCCUCGCGCGAUCGGAGCGGCCGAUGUCAGAUUAGGUAGUUGGUGGGGUAAAGGCUCACCAAGCCGACGAUCUGUAGCUGGUCUGAGAGGACGACCAGCCACACUGGGACUGAGACACGGCCCAGACUCCUACGGGAGGCAGCAGUGGGGAAUUUUGGACAAUGGGCGCAAGCCUGAUCCAGCAAUGCCGCGUGCAGGAAGAAGGCCUUCGGGUUGUAAACUGCUUUUGUACGGAGCGAAAAGGCUCUCUCUAAUACAGGGGGCUCAUGACGGUACCGUAAGAAUAAGCACCGGCUAACUACGUGCCAGCAGCCGCCGUAA
rnacentral:rRNA from 1 species